rnacentral:rRNA from 1 species
AUAUUGAACCGCAUGGUUCAAUAGUGAAAGGCGGCUUUGCUGUCACUUAUAGAUGGAUCCGCGCCGUAUUAGCUAGUUGGUAAGGUAACGGCUUACCAAGGCAACGAUACGUAGCCGACCUGAGAGGGUGAUCGGCCACACUGGAACUGAGACACGGUCCAGACUCCUACGGGAGGCAGCAGUAGGGAAUCUUCCGCAAUGGGCGAAAGCCUGACGGAGCAACGCCGCGUGAGUGAUGAAGGUCUUCGGAUCGUAAAACUCUGUUAUCAGGGAAGAACAAAUGUGUAAGUAACUGUGCACAUCUUGACGGUACCUGAUCAGAAAGCCACGGCUAACUACGUGCCAGCAGCCGCGGUAAUACGUAGGUGGCAAGCGUUAUCCGGAAUUAUUGGGCGUAAAGCGCGCGUAGGCGGUUUUUUAAGUCUGAUGUGAAAGCCCACGGCUCAACCGUGGAGGGUCAUUGGAAACUGGAAAACUUGAGUGCAGAAGAGGAAAGUGGAAUUCCAUGUGUAGCGGUGAAAUGCGCAGAGAUAUGGAGGAACACCAGUGGCGAAGGCGACUUUCUGGUCUGUAACUGACGCUGAUGUGC